AACCAGCCCCAUGGCAGCUUGUGGUUGCUCUGUUAGAGCUUGCUUGGGGGAGGGGGCUGAGAUGAGUGCAGAAGCUGGGAAGAAGCGUGGUGGUCAUGCUUCCACUUCUGGAGACAGGAAGUCCAAGAGGAAGCCCAAGAGAAAGGAAACCUAUUCAGUCUAUAUCUAUAAAGUACUGAAGCAAGUGCACCCUGACACCGGCAUCUCCUCCAAGGCCAUGAGCGUCAUGAACUCCUUUGUCAACGACAUCUUCGAGCGGCUGGCUUCAGAGGCCUCCCGCCUGGCCCAGUACAACCAGCGCUCCACCAUCACCAGCCGCGAGGUGCAGACGGCUGUGCGGCUCCUGCUGCCUGGCGAGCUGGCCAAGCACGCCGUCUCUGAGGGCACCAAGGCCGUCACCAAAUACACCAGCAGCAAGUGACCACUGGGCCACGAUAAAACCUUCCUGCCGUGGCUGCACCCCAUCUGUCAUGGCUCUGUGGGGUUGUGUUGGGGCAGGGGGGAGUCACUGAGGGCGGUGCUGGUGGGGCUUGUGCAGCCCAAA